GACGAACGCUGGCGGCGUGCCUAAUACAUGCAAGUCGAACGAGAGCAACCGGUGCUUGCACUGGUCAAUCUAGUGGCGAACGGGUGAGUAACACGUGGGUAACCUGCCCAUCAGAGGGGGAUAACAUCCGGAAACGGGUGCUAAAACCGCAUAGGUCUUCGAACCGCAUGGUUUGAAGAGGAAAAGAGGCACAAGCUUCUGCUGAUGGAUGGACCCGCGGUGCAUUAGCUAGUUGGUGAGGUAACGGCUCACCAAGGCCGUGAUGCAUAGCCGACCUGAGAGGGUGAUCGGCCACAUUGGGACUGAGACACGGCCCAAACUCCUACGGGAGGCAGCAGUAGGGAAUCUUCCGCAAUGGACGCAAGUCUGACGGAGCAACGCCGCGUGAGUGAAGAAGGUUUUCGGAUCGUAAAACUCUGUUGUUAGAGAAGAACAAGUGCUAGAGUAACUGUUAGCGCCUUGACGGUAUCUAACCAGAAAGCCACGGCUAACUACGUG
rnacentral:rRNA from 1 species